rnacentral:lncRNA from 1 species
CUCCAAUGAACUUUGAACGGAUUGUGAUAGAGACAUGAGCCUCUCUGAGCAUCAGUCCUGACAGAUCUCAGUUCUUUGAAUAUGAGUCUGUCUCUCUGAGCUGUGAUGUUCAGAGCUCUACUGGAUGGAGAGUGGUGAGGAACACGCUGAAAGGAGGGACUGAAGAGUGUCCCACUGACUGGGGAUUUUUUAAAGGGUCUUCAUGCACCAUAUCUGCAGUACCAUCAGACAGUGGAGUGUACUGGUGUGAGUCUGGGUCUGGAGAACACAGCAAUGCUGUUAACAUCACAGUACAUGAUGGGGCUGUGAUCCUGGAGAGCCCUGCCAUUCCUGUGACUGAGGGAUAUUUUGUGACUCUGCGCUGCGUAUAUGAAGACAAGAAAACGAAGAAAACAUUCUCAAACUUCAGAGCUGAUUUCCAUAAUGAUGGAUCCCUCAUCAUGACCAACACUACAGGGGAGAUGACCAUCCCUGCAGUAUCCAAAUCAGAUGAAGGGCUCUACAAGUGUAACAACACUAAAGGAGAAUCACCAGAGAGCUGGAUGACUGUGACAGUUCCAUCUUCAGCUCCAGGGCCAGCCCCAUCUCCAGCAGUCCCAGUGUGGUCCAUCUCUCUGCCCAGGCUGCUGUGUAGUCUACUAGUAGUGUCUCCUUACCUGCUGGUGACCAUCAUACUGGUGGUGAAAUGCAACAGCCGCAGGAGCAUGGCUCGAGCUCAAUCUGAUGAAGAGAAGAAAAGAUGUACUGUCAUCACAUAAUCAGGAUGGAAUGUUACGCAACAACACACUUUAUGGGAACCAUGUUGAUAUGGUCGGAGAGAGAGAGAGAGAGAGAGAGAGAGAGAGAGAGAGAGAGAGAGAGAGACAGACAGACAGACAGACAGACAGACAGACAGACAGACAGACAGACAGACAGACAGACAGACAGACAGACAGACAGACAGACAGACAGACAGACAGACAGACAGACAGACAGACAGACAGACAGACAGACAGAAGCCUGACUGAAGGAUGGGGGAGAGAAGAAGACCCCCCACACACACACAUAAACACACACAUACACUGUUACCAUGCACUUGUUUAUCAGAAUAGAGGAUGUGCUGCUGUGUGGCUGGUUGCAUAUGAGCAUAUGCUGUGGUUAACCACUUUCUCUGUCCUUUUGUCUUCUGCUGCCCCCUUCCCUCCCUG